rnacentral:lncRNA from 1 species
AAAGCUUCGGCUUCGCAUCUCCCCUCAUCGACCCCCCGCGUCGCGUCGACCUGCUGCUCGAGGGCCCCCAUCCCGCCACACCCCUCGCUCUUCUCGACCUACGCCCGCCGCCUCUACGCACGCACUGCGCCUGCAAUUGAAUUGAGCACCCUUUACAAAAGCAGAGUCUGAUUUGUGGUGAGCCUCGUCCGAUUCCAUUCGCGUCACGGCGCGCCAUUGAACUCUAUCUGAUGUUUUCCCCUCACAUAAUUUCCAGCUUCAACUCCAGGUGAAGCCGUGACUAGGGCGCCCUGCCUGCUUGGUUACCUGCCACAUCCCAGCUUGCUAUCAAUGAGCAGGGAUCACCGCCUGCAUGCAUGCCUCGGACCGCAUCAGAGCCUCUUGCCUAUGCCGGUGAGUUUAUGACUUUAUGGGAUACCGUAGGCUAGCGCGUUGUUUUGGCACGGGGUAACUUUCAUUUCUGCACCAUAGUUACCAUUAUGCCGGGCAUUGUUCAGUAUCCUAUAAGGAUGUUGAUUGUGCAGCACCGAGCUAGAUAGAUGUUGUAACAAGGCUAGAAAAAGCUUCCAAGUUGGAUCUCAAAAGCUGGAGUUUCCAAGUUAACUAGAGGAAAGAGAGAAAUAUAUAUGGCGCCUAUUUCGAUAUGGCUCCGGGAUACAAUGAUGUAGGGAGAGUUACAAAUUUAUAAAAGUACAGCUAUUUCUUCAAUCAUAAGAAUUACAAUUCCAUAGCAAAUAGUACAACUCUAGUCUUAAGGCUAGUGAUAUAUGACAACAUCUAGACGCGCAAUACAGCUAACUUCCAUGAAACAAAAAGAUUAGGAGCGCGUCGAAUGCGAGCUUCCAGCCAUAGCUUGGAGCAGUCUUGGUAUCGGGGGCAUCGUAGUCUCAACAAGCCCUUCGAGAAUCUGAACCACCUGUCCCAUUGUUGGCCGAUCAAGCUCAUCAUCUUGAAUGCACCAACACGCAACCUUGCAAGCUAGUUCAGCCUCAUCCAGAUUGACAUCACCAUGUAAAAUGUGAUCUACCAAACACCCAACGUCUCCUUCAAGAAUCUUAUGUGCGGCAUGCACAGGGAAAUAAACAUCAGCGUUGCCACCACCAGGACAUGAUGUGCAAGAGUUCCUUCUUCCAGAUAUUAUUUCCAGCAACACCAUCCCGUAGCUGUAAACGUCGACUUUCGGUGUAAUAGCCACGCCGCUAAUCCAUUCAGGUGCAAGGUACCCUGCAGUUCCUCUCAUUGUAGUUAGUACUCGGCUAAAAUCCCUUUCCAAAAGCUUUGCCAUGCCGAAGUCUGCAAUUUUUGGAGUGAAUGAAGCAUCAAUAAGUAUGUUUUCUGGCUUAAUAUCACAGUGUAUGAUGCAGUCUCGACAGCUCUCAUGUAAGUAGGCUAACCCUCUAGCAACCCCCAGGGCUAUCUGAUAUCUACCAGUCCAACUUAAUAUUGUUGAAUUGUUUCGGAAUAAAUGGAUAUCAAGAGAGCGAUUUGACAUGUAUUCAUAAACAAGCAACCUCUUAGAACCCUCACAACUGAAACCGAUGAGCUUAACUAAAUUGAUGUGCUGGACAGCUCCAAUUGAGCUCACUUCAGCUCUGAAUUGUUUCUCCCCUUGAUAAGCACCGUCAAGCCUCUUCACUGCUACAGCUAUCGAGUCAUUUAUAAACCCCUUGUAUACAGAACCAAAACUGCCUGCCCCCAACUGAUCUGUAAACUUUUUUGUGGCACCCUGUAAAACAGUGUAUCUAAAUGCAAUGAUUCCAUUAGAACCUUGAGCACCAUUAAGUAUGAGAUCAGAGCUCUUCCUUUUAUUUCUCCAAAUCAUCAGUAAUAGGAAAAGUGAAAAUAGGCCUAGUGCAGAAAAGCCUGUACCAAUUGCAAUUCUAAUAACAAACCCUCCUCUGUUGUUUUUUAAACUUUUGAUAUCUUUAGCAGAUAGGCGAAGGUAAAUAGUUUCUUCAUUUGAAUUGGUAGCGCCACCACAUUGUAACUGUCUCAUGUUGAGCAAUUCAUUAUUCCAGAUAGAACAUCCGCUGUUGCUAAAGGAAUACGCGGUGCAAGAGCAAUUAUUGAGGCAAGCUUGUGCACACUUACUCGUGCUUGCAGCUUCUUCUACUUUUCGGGCAUUAUGCGGCGGCUUAACACAUGGCACAGGGUAAAACUUGUCCGUGGUAUGUGUCGUACUUUUGUUGCUAAUAUUGCAGUCUAAAGGAGUAUUUCUUGAGCACCCACCGGUUCGAUCUUCUAGUUCCCAAUCCUCAGGGGAUGUUAUGGUGAA